UUGAAUUUUUUCAAAAAAAAUUUUUUUUAUUUUUUUACCCACGAAUUCUGUAAUUUUUCAUAAAAUCGUCCAUAACUCUUUUAUUUUGAGAUUUACGGCUAAAUGUUAUUCUUUAUGAUUUGUUCUAUUUUUAACUAGGAAUCCAAUGCUAAAAGAAAAUUUUCCAUAUUCUGAAUAGCUUUCGAGAAAAUGAGGAAAAACUGUUAAGAGGUUUUUCCCAAUUUUCUGGAAAACCGUUGGAGGAAAAAAUUAUUUUUCAAGUGCAUUGGAUGCCCAUUGACAUUCCAAACAAUUUUUGUUCCAACAAUUUUUUUCUCCAACCAAUAGUUUUCCAGAAAAAAAAUAAAAACCGAAAUUAUGAACAUUUUCCCAGGGGUACCCCUUUGAAUCUUUUGAGGAAGAAAUUUUUCGGAAAAUUGGGUAGAACUUUUUCCAGGUGCAUUUUUCAAAAAAGUUUUAUAAGACUUUUUUGAAGUGUUUUAGACGAUUUAUCGAUUUGCCAAAAAAAAAAAUUAAAUUUUUUCAAAAAUUUUUCUUUCAAUUUUUUACCCAAAAAUUCUGUAAUUUUUCAUAAAAUCGUCCAUAACUCUUUUAUUUUAAGAUUUCCGGCUAAAUGUUAUUCUUUAUGAUUUGUUCUAUUUUUGACUAGGAAUCCAAUGCUAAAAGAAAAUUUUCCAAAUUCUGAAUAGCUUUCGAGAAAAUGAGGAAAAACUGUAAAGAGGUUUUUCCCAAUUUUCUGAAAAACUGUUGGUGAAAAAAAUUAUUUUUCAAUUGCGUUCGAUGCCCAUUGACAUUCCAAACAACUUUUGUUCGAACAAUUUUUCUCUCCAACCAAUAGUUUUCCAGAAAAAAAAUAAAAACCGAAAUUAUGAACAUUUUUCCAGGGGCUCCCCUUUGGAUUUUUUGAGGAAGAAAUUUUUCGGAAAAUUGAGUAUAACUUUUUCCAGGUGCAUUUUUUGAAAAAGUUUUAUAAGACUUUUUUGAAGUGUUUUAGACGAUUUAUCGAUUUGCCAAAAAAAAAAUUAAAUU
rnacentral:lncRNA from 1 species